AUUUAGAAUGAUCUAAUGAAAACAUGGACUCCCAUAUUCACAGCAGAGAAGUUUUUCACAUUGAACACAGACCAGAGAAGUGUUUCCACUAAUUUAUACUCCGAGAACAAUGGUUCCUGAGAGUGACAAUAUCUGAGGAAAGAGCAGGUCCUGCAACCAACGAGAAAUUCUCCUGCAGCAUUUCAAAGCAGUUUACAUGAGCACAAUUUGGAUGGAUGUGUUUUCAACCACACACCUGGCAAGUCACCACACAGCGCUGUGCAACUGAUAUCAUUUGAGAAGAAGAGGAUAACUGAGUUCCUGUUGGAAGAACAGCAAUUUGAAAGUACUGCUUAAAUGAACACAAGAUGGUGUCAGGAUUCCAAGUUUCUCAUUCUUUCUAGGGAGUUACCUAAGGUCUAAGUUUUAUCCUGAACAGAAUCUCUUGGGGAACUAAAAUGCUACCAAUGAAAAGCUCUUGAUACUCCUAUAUCAUGAAUAUUAUUGAGCUCUAAAACUUGAACUGGUCGUGUCAGGAGAACCUUGAACUGCUCAUGGCAGUUCUUGUGGACUGGGAGGAAGUACUACUGGAGAUCUUGGUGAUAGUGGCCAAAAGGAAAGGGUAUGAUUAUGAUUGCUGGGAAGCAGAUGGCUUCUGAAUAUGUUCAUCCAAAUCCUAAGCCAGAGACUGUGUUUAGUGCUUGUUCCUCCUGGGAAGGCUUAUGGUAAACAAAAAUACAGUUUAACAUGUUUAAUGUUUUGAAAUUCUGGAAGAAGAAUAGAAAUAUUCAUUUGUUCCUGGGUGUCCACAUGAGCAUGGAGGUAUUCUAAAGUGUAAGAAGUGACAGCAUAGGCAUGGUUAAAAUCUCAGAUUCUGACCUCAAGCUGGCUCCUCCCCUUACUAUCUUGAGCAUUAGCUCAAUAAACCUCAAUGCUUUGUCUAUAAAAUUGUGGUGACAAUUACAUUUAGUUAAAAGAUUAUAAAGUUUCGGCCGGACGCGGUGGCUCACGCCUGUAAUCCCAGCACUUUGGGAGGCCGUGGCGGGCAGAUCACGAGGUCAAGAGAUAGAGACCAUCCUAGCUAACACGGUGAAACCCCGUCUCUACUAAAAAUACAAAAAAUUAGCCGGGCGUGGUUGCAGGUGCCUGUAGUCCCAGCUACUUGGGAGGCUGAGGCAGGAGAAUGGCCUGAACCCGGGAGGCGGAGCUUGCAGUGAGCCGAGAUCGCGCCACUGCAUUCCAGCCUGGGCGAUAGGGCUAGACUCCGUCUCAAAAAAAAAAAAAAAAAAAAAGAUUAUAAGAUUUCAACGGGAUAAUACAUAUAAAAUGUUUAACUAGCACAGUGUCUUACACAUAGUAAAGUCUCACCAAAGUAACCAAAUAUAGUAGUACACCCUUAGCUAUGGCUUUGCUUUAGUGGUUUUAGUUACCUACAGUCAACCGCAGUCUGAAAAUAUUACAGUAUUUUGAGAGAGAGAGAGAGAAAAUGAGAGAGAAAGAGAGAGAGAGACAUUCACAUAGCAAUACACUGUUUUAUUUUAUUAUUAGUUAUUAUUGUUAAUCUCUUACUGUGACUGAUUUAUAAAUUAAACUGUAUAAUAGGUACGUAUGCAUAGGACUGAACAGUCUAUAUAGGUUUUGGUACUAUCCACAGUUUCAAGCAUCCAUUGGAGGUCUUGGAAUAUCUCCCAUGGAUAAGGUGGGCUACUGUAUUGGUUUAAGUUCCUCAGAUUUCCUGGACUACCUGACAUUAGGCUCUACAAUUCUCUCAUACAUGCUACUUCAAUCAGCAGCAUGCUUAGCACAUAGCAUGUGUUUAAUAAAAGUUAAAUCUAAAAUAAAAAUCAAGAUUUCCAGUUGAACUGAAGCUAGGGAAGCCUACACAUAUUUUGUGUGUUAGUUUGUUUGGAAACAUCGUCUCUACAGGGAGUAUCUGAUGACAUGGGAAUGCCAUGAUAGAGUCAGUCUGGUGGAGAAGAUAUCUAGACCUUCAUCAGUCCCAAAUCCACAUUAUCCAUGUAGGGCUGCUUUUGUAAGAUCAACAGAACCCAUGUCAUUGAUGUAAUGCUCAUUACUGCCAGCAUCCUUACUGUUUUUGAAUAUCUAUGUAAUAGUUGUUUUUCUUAUAUUAUUUCACUGAAUUCUUAAAAUGCCUUAAUGGAGAUGCUCUUAUUCCUAUGUUAACAAGAAAGCUGAGUCUCAGAAUGGUUCUAUAACUUGUUCAAUGUCACACACUAGUGAGUGAAAAAGCCAUGACUAGAAUGAGGGCCACAGAGAGCGGGACAAGCCUUUUUGCCAGGGAAGACAAGCUAAAUGUCUCCCUAGACAGGCAGCCCUGACAUCCUAUUGGGUCUUAUUGAUAUCCUGACUUGCUCUAGACUUGUCUGAAACCCUGGCUUAUCUGGCUUCAAAGCUUAUGAAGCUUCCACCAGACCAGAGGACCAUCAUUUGAGUAGUGAUGAAAUCUUCUCCAAAAAACAACAAAUGCGACAAAUUAUCAGGGACCUUAGAGACUCUCAACAUGAAUUCCAGUUUCAGAAAUUGUGUCUCAAAAAAGUAAAGUCUUAAUAAAUAUUAGGUUGGUGCAAAAGUAGUUGUGGUUGCCAUUAAAAGCAAUGGCAAAACAGCAAUUACUUUUCCACCAACCUAUAAAAAAAGACUGUGAUUCAUCACUAUAAUAGAAGGUAAAAUGUAUACUCAUGUUACCAUGGAAAUAAACAUCAUCAGUUUAAAAAUUCUCACAAAACUUGUGACUUCUCUACAGGACAGCAUGGUUGUGCAUCCUAAGUGGAACGUAAUUAUUUUUGUCAGAAAAUGAUCUUCGCAUACAUACCAAUCAUUCCUUGGGACAGGGUGGGGUUCAUCGGUUUUUGGAAAUGUUACUGUUUUCAAGUUAUAUAUAAAUACCCUAAAUUGUGUCUGAGUGUCCAGCAAAAUGAAGUAUUAUCUUUGAUGUGCUAUCAGUGAGCUACUGAGAAAGAAAAUAUGUUUCAACAAGAUUCAUUUAUUAGAUUAAGUGAAUAUAUUAACAUUCCAUGGGCAAAAUUACAGAAGACAUGGUUAGGAAUAAAAUUUCCUCAUCUCCUUGAUGACUUCGUCCCUCAGAUUAAGUCCUUAAUUUGCAGAGUUAGCAACAUUCUUAAUUCCUUGUACAAGAAAUUUUCCUGUGGAAAACAGUUUUACCUGUUUGUCUCCACACGUAUGUCUGAUCUUCGUGAUACAGUAUCAGGCAUCCCCUGACCUGUUGGUUUGUCAUCUUUUCCAUUUUAUCUUUUCAUCUAUUUUGCAAACUCAUCAAGAUGCCUUCCACUUUCCAGCUUCUCCAUUAUGUACCUAAGGGUUUUCCUUAAAUUUUUGUCCAACCUAAAAAAUAACAAUCACUAAAUGAUAGAACUCUAUAAUAACUAAAAGAUAGAAUGAUAUAAAUGAUUUCCAGCAUUCCUGUCGGAGUGAUAGAAAUCUCCUAGCCUACUUUGAAGCAAAUCAAAAGCAACUGUGAAGUUAAUUUAAUGAAAUUAUUCUCUCUUUUUGAGGCCCACUGUUGCAACUUUCCUUAUCUCCAAGCUAGUAGAAAAUGCUGUUGCUUUGUGGUCGUUUUCUUCAAAGGACUUAGGGAGGGAUCAUUUUCUCUAACCAGCUCAUCAAAUUCACAGAGGUCUACAGAAGUGAAGUGACGUGCCCAAGAGCUCACGGCAAGUAAAUAGUGUCUUAGUCUAAAUACAUCCAGAAUAAGUAUUCUUAGACCUUGUACUUAUCUCAUUGUCCUAUGCUCAGGCAAACGUUUGCGAACAGCAGGGAAAACAACUGCAGAUUGAGACUUGAGGGAGAGAAGGGUGGGAGAUGGUCCUUAGCAGAUCCCUGGGCCUGGGGAUCACCUGCUCGCUGGGAUCAAAACAGUGAAACAAGCUAUUCAUAAGUACAUCAAGGACGAGUGGGCCAUUGUUUUCAGAACCAGCUGUGGAGAAUCUGCUCAACAGUGGCCUUGGAACAGCUGCGGCUGCUGCACCAAGAAGGGAGGGCAGGAGGGCGGAGCGGUACUGGUGGAAGGGUGAGCUAGGAGGGAGGGCUGCAAGGACCCUGCCACGCCACCUCCCGGCAAACCAGGAAGUAUUUUUGCAGUAAGUGCAUUGGACUGAGCCACCUUUUGAACCUACCCGAAGUGUUAACAGCACACAGCAGGCCUUAGAUGGGAGCAAUAACUGCAAACUCUCAACGGGCUGGUGCCUAAGAGGCUACGGGCUGGCAGCUAAGUAGAGCCCGGCGCAGUGAGUCGGCGCUGUCCGAAAGUACACAGAGUGGAGCCAGCCGACUGUGCUGUCUUUGCAAACCGUGACCGAGCAAAGUCCAUGGUAAACAAGCCUCGCAGCAGCUGCCUCCGGAUGAGCGCCCCCUGCUCAUUCCUCCACCCAGCAUUUCCCACGCGCCCAGCGCUCCGCUC